CAAGAAAUACUUUUUCAUGAUAAUGAUGAUGAUAAUAAUGAUUUUCAUUAUGAUGUCUUGACAGACAAGAAAUCAUUUCUCCAGUACCCGGGAAGAGAUGGAAGAACUUAAGAAAAGGAUGAAAGAAGCUCCCCAGACAUGCAAACUUCCAGGACAGCCCACUAUUGAAGGCUAUCUCUAUACACAAGAGAAAUGGGCUUUAGGAAUAUCCUGGGUGAAAUACUAUUGCCAGUAUGAGAAAGAGACCAAAACACUCACCAUGACGCCUAUGGAACAGAAGCCAGGUGCUAAGCAGGGGCCCUUGGACUUAACACUGAAGUACUGUGUGAGAAGGAAGACGGAGUCUAUUGACAAGAGGUUCUGUUUUGAUAUAGAAACUAAUGAAAGGUAAGCUGUGCCGCUGUGAAUUGGCAAUGUCCCCACGUGCCAGAUGCUUAGCCUGGGUAGGUCUUUUAUUUUCUUCCAUCAUCCCACAUUGAUGACAAUGAGUAAGUCUAUUCAGGACUUUGUUGUGAGUCUAUUCAAGCCAGCUCUUCUGACUGCCCUUCCCAGGGAUCCCUGCUAGACCUGGCCCAGUGCUGCUUUUCUC
rnacentral:lncRNA from 1 species